GACGAACGCUGGCGGCGUGCUUAACACAUGCAAGUCGAACGGAAAGGCCCUGCUUUUGUGGGGUGCUCGAGUGGCGAACGGGUGAGUAACACGUGAGUAACCUGCCCUUGACUUUGGGAUAACUUCAGGAAACUGGGGCUAAUACCGGAUAGGAGCUCCUGCUGCAUGGUGGGGGUUGGAAAGUUUCGGCGGUUGGGGAUGGACUCGCGGCUUAUCAGCUUGUUGGUGGGGUAGUGGCUUACCAAGGCUUUGACGGGUAGCCGGCCUGAGAGGGUGACCGGCCACAUUGGGACUGAGAUACGGCCCAGACUCCUACGGGAGGCAGCAGUGGGGAAUAUUGCACAAUGGUCGGAAGCCUGAUGCAGCAACGCCGCGUGCGGGAUGACGGCCUUCGGGUUGUAAACCGCUUUCGCCUGUGACGAAGCGUGAGUGACGGUAAUGAGUAAAGAAGCACCGGCUAACUACGUG
rnacentral:rRNA from 1 species